rnacentral:lncRNA from 1 species
UACCAAUUGUAACACCCCAACUAAAUUUAUCUAGAAUAUUUAGUCGAGACAUACAUAAUUAAAAUCUGGGUACAUUAAAAUUACAUAAUAACUUGUUUCAUUUACAACGUAUAAGUACAACGUAGUAAACUGAUACAUCACAGCGGAAAGGAAUCUAAACAGUGUAAUACAAAACAAGGAAGAAAACUAAUGUUAAUAUCUCAAGAUAAUCCAAUCUAAGCCUCGAUCAUCAGCUUCCUUCUUACCCCUGUAUUGAUAAACCUGUUUAUCUGAAAAAAAAUAAAAGGGAGUGGGUUAAGACUCUAAGCCUCAGUGAGUUCUUACUACACCUAGGGUGUCAGUAGUCAUAUGGGAAACUUGACUGUCAGUUGAUCAUCUUAUAAGCAUUAUCAUAUUCACUUAUCAUUACAUAGCAUAUAAUAAAGUGUAUCACACAAUAAUUAUCUAGGUUCAUUUUUAUUUGGACAACCUGAGGUGAGUUAAGCUCAGGAGGUCUACCUAGUCGGUCAAAUUCCCUAUAAAGGGCUAGGACACGACUCCUUGACUCAUCUUGUC